rnacentral:misc_RNA from 1 species
ACACCCUCAAGCCCUGCUUGGUGUUGGGCGUCUGUCCCGUAGUGGACUCGCCCCAAAGGCAUUGGCAGCGGUCCUGCCGGACCUCCUAAUCGCGCAGCACUGUUCGCGCCUCCUGGAGCCCGUGCGGAUUCGGCGUCCAUCAAGCCCCAAUCUUUCUGA